rnacentral:rRNA from 1 species
UGAAUACGAGAUGCUACGGCGUCGAAGCAGUCUAUGUCAUACUUCCAAGAAAAGCUCGCACUGUCAUAAACAAAUAAUGCCUGUACCAUAACCGACACAGGUGGGUAGGUAGAGUAUACUAAGGGGCGCGAGAUAACUCUCUCUAAGGAACUCGGCAAAAUGACUCCGUAACUUCGGGAGAAGGAGUGCCUUAUUUAUAAGGUUGCAAUAACAAGAUCCAAGCAACUGUUUAUCAAAAACACAGGUCUCCGCUAAGUCGUAAGACGAUGUAUGGGGGCUGACGCCUGCCCAGUGCCAGAAGGUUAAAGAAGUUGGUUAGCAUUCGCGAAGCUGAUAACUGAAGCCCUGGUGAACGGCGGCCGUAACAAUAACGGUCCUAAGGUAGCGAAAUUCCUUGUCGGGUAAGUUCCGACCCGCACGAAAGGCGUAAUGAUUUGGAUACUGUCUCGGAGAGGGGCUCGGUGAAAUAGACUUGUCUGUGAAGAUGCGGACUACCUGCACCAGGACAGAAAGACCCUAUGAAGCUUUACUGUAACUUGAGAUUGAAAUUGGACUUUACUUGCGCAGUAUAGGUGGGAGGCGUUGAUAAUAUUCUUGCGGGAUUAUUUGAGCCAUCAGUGAGAUACCACUCUUGUAAUGUUAGAUUUCUAACUUUGUAUCAUUAUCUGGUCAAAGGACAGUUUCAGGCGGGCAGUUUGACUGGGGCGGUCGCCUCCUAAACGGUAACGGAGGCGCACAAAGGUUUCCUCUGAACGGGUAGAAAUCGUAUCUAGAGUGUAAAGGCAUAAGGAAGCUUGACUGUGAGACCUACAAGUCGAGCAGGGACGAAAGUCGGUCUUAGUGAUCUGACGGUGCUGAGUGGAAAGGCCGUCACUCAACGGAUAAAAGUUACUCUAGGAUAACAGGCUGAUCUCCCCCAAGAGUUCACAUCGACGGGGAGGUUUGGCACCUCGAUGUCGGCUCAUCGCAUCCUGGGGCGGUAGUACGUCCCAAGGGUUGGGCUGUUCGCCCAUGAAAGCGGUACGCGAGCUGGGUUCAGAACGUCGUGAGACAGUUCGGUCCAUAUCCGGUGUAGGCGUUAGAAUAUUGAGAGGAGCCUUCUUUAGUACGAGAGGACCGAGAAGGACAUACCUCUGGUGUACCAGUUAUCGUGCCAACGGUAAACGCUGGGUAGCUAUGUAUGGAGUGGAUAACCGCUGAAAGCAUCUAAGUGGGAAGCCCACCUCAAGAUAAGUAUUCUC